AUGGUGUUUAUGCCAGCGCCGGGAGUCCGCCGGAUACUGGCGACGGAGAGGUAGCAGAACGCCGUGUCUGUUGACUGUCUAGGAAACAACCCCUUGAAUCGGGACAAACAGAAAGCAAAGGCUACCCACCUACGGCGUUCCAUGAUAGCGCGUAGACUGGGCCAGGCGAGGGGAAAGGCACACGGGUGAACGUGGACAGACCACUGCACGGAACCGGGCACUCUCGUGGGGAAAACAAGCAGGUUCUUGGAAAAGCUGUAGCUCAAAAUAAAUCAUCACAAGGUUCAGGCUUCAGAUCUGGUUCUCUAGAUGAACAGAGGAGUGGCUCCCCCCGCCCCCCGAGGCUGGGGCAGCCUGACAUAAAACAGUCAUUGCAGACUGUAGGUACAGAAAUGUGCGGUGGCCGGCAUUAAAGCGCCCUUUGUAAUUCCAAGGCUAGAUGGAGGAAUGCUUUCAUGGGAAAUCCAGCCAAGUCUCCCAGCUGUGUUUUCAGACCUCUAAGUUCAAGGAGAAGAGGAUGAUGGAUCCCAGGCUGCCUCCCGCCCUGCAUCCCAAGCCAUCAGCGCUAGUCCCUACAUCAUUUGGAAUCAUCUACCACUCUUCCCGCUCGGAAAGCACGAAUCACUCCCACGGUUCCUCAACAGUCCCUCACUUACCUCUGAG